AGCUAGUAAAAGCCAGACGUUGCAUCGAUCUUUUGUUGUGUAAGCAGGUUCGUCUCUCUCAAGCUUGCUAUAUUAUUUCUUGCUCUCAUGGCGACCUUCAUAUUCGCUAUAUCUCUAUCAAGAUACAAAAUACUAUAUAUGUUUUUGAUCCUUAUGUGAUAUUCUGAAUGAAGUUUGUGUUUAAUUCACUGAAGGGAAAAACUAUAUAUAGAGCAAUGAACAAGUUAGUAGCUGUGAUGCUUGUGUUUGCCAUGGUUGCUGCCCAAGGUAUGGCAGCAAUUCAAGGCAAAGGGAGGACGCUGGAGAAGAAGACCAACACUGGAGGAGAAGCCAGAGGCUCGCAGCAGCAACCCGUGCUCGGAGUUGCCGAGGCAACCACUGUGGACAACCACCAUGCCAUCCCUCGAGAUCAGUACAGCAGUCAUGGAGGAGGAGACGAUGGAGGUAGUGGCUCCGAUACGAACAACUAGGAGUAGCAGCUCAGGUUCCAUCAUCUCAUGGUGGUGCAAGUCACUAUCUAUACAGUACAUGUUUAUUAUUAUUGCGUGUGGCUCUCUAUGGAUUGUGUGUAUGAGAAUGAUGUAUUUGCACUGAAUCGAAGUAGUGGUUGUUGGGUUUUAUCAUGUAUAUUUCUGCUGUGAAAAAUCAUGGAACAUGGAAGAUACUUAUGUUAUGGUGCUGUAGAAAGAUAUAAUGAACUGUUUCAGGAGGUCAUGUAUACCA
rnacentral:lncRNA from 1 species